rnacentral:rRNA from 1 species
AGAGUUUGAUCCUGGCUCAGGACGAACGCUGGCGGCGCGCUUAACACAUGCAAGUCGAACGGGUUCAGGGCUUCGGCUCUGGAUUAGUGGCGAACGGGUGCGUAACACGUGAGCAACCUGCCCCUGUAUGGGGGAUAACCCUGGGAAACCGGGGCUAAUACCGCAUGCGCUCUUGAGGCUACCUGGCCUUUUGAGGAAAGCCCCUUUCGGGGGGUGUGCAGGGAGGGGCUCGCGGCGUAUCAGCUAGUUGGUGGGGUAACGGCUCACCAAGGCGACGACGCGUAGCCGGUCUGAGAGGACGACUGGCCACAUUGGGACUGAGAUACGGCCCAGACUCCUACGGGAGGCAGCAGUGGGGAAUCUUGCGCAAUGGGCGAAAGCCUGACGCAGCGACGCCGCGUGGGGGAGGAAGCUUUUCGGAGUGUAAACCCCUGUCAGGAGGGAAGAACGGUCACAGGAGGAAAUGCUUGUGAUUUGACGGUACCUCCAGAGGAAGCACCGGCUAACUCUGUGCCAGCAGCCGCGGUAAUACAGAGGGUGCGAGCGUUGUUCGGAAUUACUGGGCGUAAAGCGCGCGUAGGCGGCUUCUUAAGUCUUACC